rnacentral:lncRNA from 1 species
CAAAAUGAAAAUUUGCUCUCCUUUUAUUUUUCCUCUAAACGCCGUAAUUCCCUUUCUAGCUCACUAGGGAAUUUCAGCCAUUGUUUCUACUCCUUUGUGAGUUCUUGCCUUCUUAUUGUAGUGUGUAUUACUGUUUGAGGUGAUCCAAUUGGAUUACUGUGGUUUGCUAUAAUCCAAUAAAGAAGGCAAACAAGAAAACCAGAUAUGAUAUCACUCGAAAAGGUAUGAAAUUCUGCAACAUUCUUGUAAAAUUAAUUAUAUUGAUGAAUUCUUUUUGUCAUUUUGGGGUUCAAGUCUAUUUAUUUUUGC